rnacentral:rRNA from 1 species
AGGACGAACGCUGGCGGCGUGCUUAACACAUGCAAGUCGAGCGGAAAGGCCCUUCGGGGUACUCGAGCGGCGAACGGGUGAGUAACACGUGAGUAAUCUGCCCCUAGCUCUGGGAUAGCUCCGGGAAACCGGGAUUAAUACCGGAUACGACCACCUUAGACAUCUUUUGUGGUGGAAAGAAUUUCGGCUAGGGAUGAGCUCGCGGCCUAUCAGCUUGUUGGUGGGGUAACGGCCUACCAAGGCGACGACGGGUAGCCGGCCUGAGAGGGCGACCGGCCACACUGGGACUGAGACACGGCCCAGACUCCUACGGGAGGCAGCAGUGGGGAAUAUUGCGCAAUGGGCGAAAGCCUGACGCAGCGACGCCGCGUGGGGGAUGAAGGCCUUCGGGUUGUAAACCCCUUUCAGCAGGGACGAAGCGAAAGUGACGGUACCUGCAGAAGAAGCGCCGGCUAACUACGCGCCAGCAGCCGC